AGAUUAAGUUAUUAAGGGCGCACGGUGGAUGCCUUGGUACUAGAAGCCGAUGAAGGACGUUACUAACGACGAUAUGCUUUGG
rnacentral:rRNA from 1 species